AGUGGGUGUAACGUACCUACUAGCCUACGACGGGUACGGGUUGUGAGAGCAAGAGCCCGGAGAUGGAUUCUGAGACAUGAAUCCAGGCCCUACGGGGUGCAGCAGGCGCGAAAACUUUACAAUGCGGGCAACCGCGAUAAGGGGACCUCGAGUGCUGGGUUACAAACCUGGCUGUUGGGCUGCCUAAAAAGCAGUCUAUAGCAAGGGCCGGGCAAGACCGGUGCCAGCCGCCGCGGUAACACCGGCGGCUCGAGUGGUGACCGCUAUUAUUGGGUCUAAAGGGUCUGUAGCCGGCCGACUAAGUCUCUUGGGAAAUCUGGCAUCUCAAGUGUCAGGCUGCCAGGGGAUACUGGUCGGCUUGGGACCGGGAGAGGUGAGAGGUACCUCGGGGGUAGGGGUGAAAUCUUGUAAUCCUCGAGGGACCACCAGUGGCGAAGGCGUCUCACCAGAACGGAUCCGACGGCAAGAGACGAAAGCUAGGGGCACGAACCGGAUUAGAU
rnacentral:rRNA from 1 species